GUAGGUGGCAAGCGUUGUCCGGAAUUAUUGGGCGUAAAGCGCGCGCAGGCGGUCCUUUAAGUCUGAUGUGAAAGCCCACGGCUCAACCGUGGAGGGUCAUUGGAAACUGGGGGACUUGAGUACAGAAGAGGAAAGCGGAAUUCCAAGUGUAGCGGUGAAAUGUGUAGAGAUUUGGAGGAACACCAGUGGCGAAGGCGGCUUUCUGGUCUGUAACUGACGCUGAGGCGCGAAAGCGUGGGGAGCAAACAGGAUUAGAUACCCUGGUAGUCCACGCCGUAAACGAUGAGUGCUAAGUGUUAGGGGGUUUCCCGCCCCCCUUAGUGCUGCAGCUAACGCAUUAAGCACUCCGCCUGGGGGAGUACGGCCGCAAGGCUG
rnacentral:rRNA from 1 species